AUUGAACGCUGGCGGCAGGCCUAACACAUGCAAGUCGAGCGGAUGAAGGGAGCUUGCUCCUGGAUUCAGCGGCGGACGGGUGAGUAAUGCCUAGGAAUCUGCCUGGUAGUGGGGGAUAACGUCCGGAAACGGGCGCUAAUACCGCAUACGUCCUGAGGGAGAAAGUGGGGGAUCUUCGGACCUCACGCUAUCAUAUGAGCCUAGGUCGGAUUAGCUAGUUGGUGGGGUAAAGGCCUACCAAGGCGACGAUCCGUAACUGGUCUGAGAGGAUGAUCAGUCACACUGGAACUGAGACACGGUCCAGACUCCUACGGGAGGAAGCAGUGGGGAAUAUUGGACAAUGGGCGAAAGUCUGAUCCAGCCAUGCCGCGUGUGUGAAGAAGGUCUUCGGAUUGUAAAGCACUUUAAGUUGGGAGGAAGGGCAGUAAGUUAAUACCUUGCUGUUUUGACGUUAACAACAGAAUAAGCACCGGCUAACUUCGUG
rnacentral:rRNA from 1 species